rnacentral:ncRNA from 1 species
UUCGUGGCGUUGAUAAGAAUAAGUAGUAAGAAGCAAUCCCAUACAGAGAGCUGCCGGCAGGUGAGAGGCGCAUGGAAGACUUGUUAUGAAUACCUCUUUGAGCCUCAUACCGAACGGUAGAUUCUCAGUAGGCUAUGACGAUUGAUGUACGUUAUAACAUCUGGUAUUUCCUGUAAGCUUUACAGAUGAUACCUGCUAAGGCAGCAGAUGCGAGUCUGGUGUGAAUUUAGGUGGUAACACGGGUGAUAUGCUCGUCCUAUAC